UAUAACUGCCAGGCUGCUGAGAGCCGACCUGCAUCCUUGCCAGAGUCGGAGUAUCCAAUCAUCACUUCUUGCUUGCCAUUAAUCCGGUUUCUGUACCACUCAAUUGAGAAAAGACGUGCAACGGCUGCAGGAGCAGCAUCCAGAUCGGCCAACUUCUCAAAAAGUGGAACAACUCGUAAAGGUUGCCUAACUCGGCAUUCACGCUGUAGAAGCUCAA
rnacentral:misc_RNA from 1 species